GGUGAACGCUGGCGGCAUGCCUAACACAUGCAAGUCGAACGGCAGCGCGGGCUUCGGCCUGGCGGCGAGUGGCGGACGGGUGAGGAAUGCAUCGGAAUCUGCCCAGUCGUGGGGGAUAACGUAGGGAAGCUUACGCUAAUACCGCAUACGACCGAGAGGUGAAAGCGGGGGACCUUCGGGCCUCGCGCGAUUGGAUGAGCCGAUGCCGGAUUAGCUAGUUGGCGGGGUAAAGGCCCACCAAGGCGACGAUCCGUAGCUGGUCUGAGAGGACGAUCAGCCACACUGGGACUGAGACACGGCCCAGACUCCUACGGGAGGCAGCAGUGGGGAAUAUUGGACAAUGGGCGCAAGCCUGAUCCAGCAAUGCCGCGUGGGUGAAUAAGGCCUCGG
rnacentral:rRNA from 1 species